GGGGGCGUGGCUCAGCUGGGAGAGCACCUCGUUCGCAACGAGGGGGUCGUGGGUUCGAAUCCCAUCGUCUCCACCA
rnacentral:tRNA from 2 species